rnacentral:rRNA from 1 species
UACGUAGGGUGCAAGCGUUGUCCGGAAUUAUUGGGCGUAAAGAGCUCGUAGGCGGUUUGUCGCGUCUGCUGUGAAAACCCGAGGCUCAACCUCGGGCCUGCAGUGGGUACGGGCAAACUAGAGUGCGGUAGGGGAGAAUGGAAUUCCUGGUGUAGCGGUGAAAUGCGCAGAUAUCAGGAGGAACACCGGUGGCGAAGGCGGAUCUCUGGGCCAUUACUGACGCUGAGGAGCGAAAGCGUGGGGAGCAAACAGG